rnacentral:rRNA from 1 species
AUUAAACGCUGGCGGCAUGCCUUACACAUGCAAGUCGAACGGCAGCACGGGGGCAACCCUGGUGGCGAGUGGCGAACGGGUGAGUAAAGCAUCGGAACGUGCCCUGGAGUGGGGGGAUAACGUAGCGAAAGUUACGCUAAUACCGCAUAUUCUGUGAGCAGGAAAGCAGGGGACCGCAAGGCCUUGCGCUCUUUGAGCGGCCGAUGUCAGAUUAGCUAGUUGGUGAGGUAAAGGCUCACCAAGGCGACGAUCUGUAGCGGGUCUGAGAGGAUGAUCCGCCACACUGGAACUGAGACACGGUCCAGACU